rnacentral:lncRNA from 1 species
UGCCCUCUCUUCUCAUACCCAAAAAUCUCAUGUAAAACCUCUUUUUGUAUGUAGAAAAUGGCGUAGGUCCGAGGCAUGCACAAGGGAGAGAGAGUCCCUACUGGUUGGGACUCUUCUUUUCAAUUUGAUUCCAAAUCAAAUUAAAUCUAGUUUGAACCCAAUAAGAGGAAGGAACCUCAUCUAAUUAGGAACCCAAUCAUUUUAAUAAAUUCCUAACCCAAUUAAGAAUUAACUGAAUCCAAGUCCUGAUCAAAUCAGGAACAAGUUUUUCUUGUAAUUAGGCUAGAUCACA